UACGUAGGAUGCGAGCGUUAUCCGGAUUUAUUGGGUUUAAAGGGUGCGCAGGCGGAAUGUCAAGUCAGCGGUAAAAUUUCGGGGCUCAACCCCGUCGUGCCGUUGAAACUGGCUGGCUUGAGUUGGGGAAAGGCAGGCGGAAUGCGCGGUGUAGCGGUGAAAUGCAUAGAUAUCACACAGAACACCGAUUGCGAAGGCAUCUCACGAAUCCGCGAUUGACGCUGAUGCACGAAAGCGUGGGUAUCAAACAGG
rnacentral:rRNA from 1 species